rnacentral:rRNA from 1 species
GCAAGUCGAACGGUAGAGAAGUGCUUGCACUUCUUGAGAGUGGCGAACGGGUGAGCAACACGUAGAUGAUCUGCCCUGUAGUUGGGGAUAGCUUAUGGAAACAUAGGGUAAUACCGAAUAAGCUCUUACUCUUUUGAGAGUUAGAGGAAAAGUGCGUUUGCACUGCUAUUGGAUGAGUCUGCGUCUGAUUAGCUUGUUGGUGGGGUAAAGGCCUACCAAGGCGACGAUCAGUAGCCGGCCUGAGAGGGUGACC